rnacentral:rRNA from 1 species
UACGUAGGGUGCAAGCGUUGUCCGGAAUCAUUGGGCGUAAAGAGCGUGUAGGCGGUUCGGUAAGUCGGCUGUGAAAGUCCAGGGCUCAACCCUGGGAUGCCGGUCGAUACUGCCGGACUAGAGUUCGGGAAGGGGCUACGUGGAAUUCUCGGUGUAUGCGGUGGAAAUGCGUAGAUAUCGAGAGGAACACCUGCGGCGAAGGCGGGUAGCUGGGCCGACACUGACGCUGAUGCGCGAAAGCCAGGGGAGCGAACGGG